rnacentral:rRNA from 1 species
GAUGAACGCUAGCGGCAGGCUUAAUACAUGCAAGUCGAGGGGCAGCAGGGAUAGCAAUAUUCGCUGGCGACCGGCGCACGGGUGCGUAACACGUAUACAAUCUGCCUUUUACAGGGGGAUAGCCUUUCGAAAGAGAGAUUAAUACCCCAUAAUAGUUGACCGGGCAUCUGGUUGAUUUGAAAGCUCCGGCGGUAAGAGAUGAGUAUGCGCCUGAUUAGCUAGUAGGUGAGGUAACGGCUCACCUAGGCUACGAUCAGUAGGGGAUCUGAGAGGACUAACCCCCACACGGAUACUGAGACACGGAUCCGACUCCUACGGGAGGCAGCAGUAAGGAAUAUUGGACAAUGCCCGCAAGGGUGAUCCAGCCAUGCCGCGUGCAGGAAGAAGGCCCUAUGGGUCGUAAACUGCUUUUACACCGGAGAAAACCUCCCCUCGUGAGGGGAGCUGAUAGUAUGGUGAGAAUAAGCAUCGGCUAACUUCGUGCCAGCA